GGACAGCAUCCUUGUGAGACUUGGACUGGCAAAGCCUUUCACCUGUGAGCAUUUCUUGAAUGCUGGACAGAACAGAAUCAGUCGUUAGCUGAAGGUUAAACCCCAAAACUCCCGACUAGGAACAUACUGUAUAUGAAUAAAUGCAUGCGCAGUUGUCUGUGAUUGACAUGCAUCAGAGAAGAACUGCCAUCGAUAACGCAAAUAUUUUGGCGAAACAGUGUACAAUGCCUGGACACUUUAUCAGGUUCCAAUCGUGCUCCAGUGAAUGGAGAUCGUAGGACUGUGGUGGCCUUGGAAGAUGCCUGAAAUCUCUAUGAUGCUCCUCCUACGAUUCUGGUAUCAUCAAUAUAGGGUCCUUAAUCGCUAUCCUUCAAACUAUGUUUCAGUUUUAUUCCAAAUUAAUCUGUAAACAUUUUUCUUUUUUUUUUCUGUGCCUCCUUACCAUUGGCAAACUAAAUAUAACCCAUGCUCCUCAAACCAUUAGCGCACAAUUCUGGCAUGGCGGAUGGGUGCAAUAUCAUAUUUUAAAAGCAGCCCUCACCAUCAGGGUACAAGUGCUGCAUUGUUGGGUGGUCUUGAUCCACAACACUACAACAUUCAUUCAGCCUUUCAAAAAUAACCCAGGGUAUACAAGCGGAAAAUGCCCCACACCAAUCUAAUCGGAUAGACAGGUCCAAAUAAAGUGGCCAGACAGUGUAUGAGCUUUACAAAACCUUCAGUCAUGACCACUUAAACUGCAAUAACAAAUACAUUCAUUGAAAUCCAGUGAGCAAUUUAGUCAGAAAUUGUUAGUACAGUAUUAAUGCCACCUUCACAUUGCCAAGCUGUUGUCAUAGUUGCAGCUAGUUGUAAAUACUGCAUCAUAUUUGUUGUAGCCAUGAAAAGGGGAAAUAUUUAUCAACACGGAUCAAAAUCUAUUGGGAAUUAAUGAGCCUUUAUAGCCGUCAUAGUGCUGUCAUCACCUGAAUGUUCAAUGGUUGCUUACACAUCUGAAGACACACAGGGGUGGUGUCUGUCCUUUACUCUUCCGCAAUAAUAAUUCAACUUAUUUAAAGCAAUACCUAAUGCCCGCUGAAUGUGCAUAACAUUGCAGUGUUCUGUCUGUUUAUUACCCCAGGAUAUGUGUUAAUUAUAAUUUAUUACUGUUUCAACACCCAUAGAUAUAUGCCAUGUUUAAUAAAAUCACCAGCAAAUGUUACCUGAGAUUUGAGCAAGCCUGAGCAAGAUUGAAUUUAUGUAAUUAGGCCAGUAUAAAAAUGACUGCUAAGGGUGAGCACUGGUCAUGUCUCCCUGCUGAAAAUGUGAGUGUGUUUACACUGGCCUCAUUACACAAUUCCCAUCAGGAUUUCUCAGAGACUGCGCUAGGUAAAAUUUGCUGGUAACUUUAUUAAACAUGUCAAAUAUCCAUGAAUGCAGAAACGGUAAUAAAUGAGGAAUGCUCAUACUAAAACUGUAUUCCAAUCAAAUCUGCAGCAAAACAAACCAACAUUUAUAUAUAACAUUUGCAUACGACUGAUUCUUAUUUAUAAUUUUCUCCCUUUCUGUAUAUGUUACAGUGUUAUACCACUGAUUAUUUUUGUACCUUGGCCCUUUUUGCGGAUAUCACAUUUAUAAGCUGAUACCUUUAUUUUAACCUUUCUGUACAUGUAAAAAAAAAAUGGUCAGAUAUACUAAACCUGUUUUAGUUAACCUGCACUUCAGUUAUCAGUCUGCAAUCUGUUCACUAAGCUACACCCAAGUUGAAAGAACAACCACAUUUGUAAUGCAUUUUAUACAGUACACUAUAAUCAAAACAGUCACUGUAAAAGUAAUGUAAUAACUUUUGGGACACAUUACAGACCUCCAGUGGUAGGAAUAAGUAUGACAGGCAAUGCAAGUGACAGCAAUGGAUGUAAUAAGUGAAACAUUACAUCAUAUUGAAGUUUCUUCCUCAUUUAUGAUUUGAACAGCAGAAUACACCAGGAAUCAACAAAUACAAAUCCUGUUCAGUUGAUUUCUGUUACCUCUCACCUGAAUCAUAUUAAUGCACAAAGAAUACAAACAAUACCUGAUUUAAAACAAUCUGUAAAAUACUGUACAGGAUUGCUUUAAGAGCCCCAACUUACAUAUGAGUUGCUUCCUCAGUGUAACAUUACCAGUUUGUUUUUUCCUUUGACCAAAAAGAGUGCAAACUCACAGCACUGGUGAACUCUUUGUAUAUAUGGCCCCAGUUUGAUUCAAUGGCUAGCUCUUGAACACCACAAUAAGACUCUUCUUAGAGGCAAAGGCUGGACAAUUUGUAGUUUUUGGUAGAAAAAACUAAACAAA